GCGGCGUGCUUGAUACAUGCAAGUCAAGGAGAACGUUUUCUUCGGAAAAUUAUUAAACUGGCGAACGGGUGAGUAACACGUAGGUAACCUGCCGUAAAGAUUGGGAUAACUUCGGGAAACCGGAGCUAAUACCGAAUAAAGCAUUUAAUUCGCAUGAAUUUUAUGUUAAAGUGGGCUUCGGCUUACACUUUAUGAUGGGCCUGCGUCCGAUUAGCUAGUUGGUAAGGUAAUGGCUUACCAAGGCGAUGAUCGGUAGCUGGUCUGAGAGGAUGAUCAGCCACACUGGGAUUGAGAUACGGCCCAGACUCCUACGGGAGGCAGCAGUAAGGAAUUUUGCACAAUGGACGAAAGUCUGAUGCAGCAACGCCGCGUGAUCGAUGAAGCUUCUAGGAGUGUAAAGAUCUGUCGUGAGGGAAGAAAAAUUUAGAUGUAAAUAAUGUUUAAACUUGACGGUACCUUACAAGAAAGCACCGGCUAACUUCGU
rnacentral:rRNA from 1 species